GAUCACUCUGACAUGUGAGGUGCAGGAAGGAGGUGAAACCACUGAGUGGGAGUAUGAAUGGAGAGGACCCAGGACACCCACACAGUGGACACACAAUAAUGAUGUGACAUUCAGAGUUUCUGAGUCCAGCAGUGGAGACUACAUGUGUAAGAGUCGACGCAGAGAUGACUUAUAUUCUUCAACAGAGUGGAGUGAAGCCUUCACAUUGUCAGCAUCAAGUAAGUCAUCAGUUAAACCAAAGGCCCAACUGACUACUAACAGCAGAGACGUUCCAGUAGCAGGCAAAGUGACUCUGAACUGCUCAGUGAACCUGUCAUCUGAAUGGAAAUACUUCUGGUACAGAGGUAAUAAAUCCUCUGAACCCCUGACUACACAAGAUGCUGCUCCUUCAGACGGACAAAUCAGUGUCUCACAGGAAGGACUCUACAGGUGCAGAGCAGGAAGAGGAAACCCAGUUUACUACACAGACUACAGUGAUCCAGUCAACAUUGAUAAAAACACAGAGCCUGGGCCUGAAAACUCUUCGUUUCUCACUCCUUUGAUUGUUGGACUUGUUUGUGGAAUUUUACUGAUUCUUC
ensembl:lncRNA